CACCUUAUAAUUUAUAAAUAAAAUAUUAAGUUGUGGUCUUAAAAUAGGUUCUCUCCU
rnacentral:tRNA from 1 species